UGCACACAAGUGUCCGGUAUUUUAAACAAGGAGCAUGUGACCACCUUGCCACAUCAUUUCUCUAGCUGAGUGGUACUUGAUGUACUAAAGAGGCUGUGGGAUGUAGUGUACUUAAAUGAGUCAGAAGACUUUGAAUGGGUCUCAUCACGUUGAUUUUAGUGAUACCAUGAAAAGAAGCUGAAUUUCUGCUGAGGGCACGGUUUGUAACCUUAUAGCAGCAGAGCUUGUGGACCAAACUUUUGUUAGAAGACAGACUGGAAUAUAAACAGAAGCUUGCUCGGGUAACCCAGGUCCGCAAGGAACUGAAGUCCCAUAUUCAGAGCUUGCCAGACCUCUCAUUGCUGCCCAACGUCACAGGAGGCUUGGCCCCCCUGCCCUCUGCUGGUGACCUGUUUUCAACUGACUAGGACAGGUGUCAUGCCCCAGAUUCCCAUCUCUACCAGCAGAAAGAAGAGGGCAAGUCAUGGUUGGAAAUAACCUUGUGGCCCCUGGUUCUGUCCCUCCUUCAUCCCGGUCCCGCAGCCUCAAGAAAGAACCACAGACUCUGAUUCUCCUCUCCGUCCUCUCUUGUUGAGCACAAUUCAGAACAGUGGCGAGUGGAGUCCAGUUUAGAUUCAGAUGUGGAAGGAAUACAAACUCUCCCACUUCAUGUUUUAUGCCCCUGUCGGUUUUCCAUUCUUAGCUCUUUCUUUACACCCAAGAAGUUAUGAAAAUCAUGUGUACUUCUGGAAGCUUUCGGAAGAAUCUUGUCGCUUAUGACAGCAUUGUGUCAUGAAAGCAGCUUCUCUUUUUGAGCUGGGCUGUUCAAGUUCAGUACAGGCCUCCACUGAAGGACCCGCUCUGGAGUCAUUGACUUUCCGGGCUACCAUCCACCCUGAAGGUUGGAGGCACAACCAUCACGCAGCUUUGCCAUAAAGAGUUUGCCACAUCUCAUCCUUCCUUUCCCUUACUUCUAGUGGUGUAUAGUCAAAGGUGAGGUGAGAUGCGUUUGUUUUGUAAGCAGACUAGGGAAUCUAGCAAUAAGAUUCAACGCUGAUCUGGAACAUAAAGUCACAGUUCAGAAACAAGGGUAACAGGGAUCACAAGCAUGAGUUAAAAAUAAGUUAUUUGCUUCAGGUUCCUACAAACAACCUUCCCAGGCACCCACUGUCAGAGAAAACGUUCCUAAAAACCUGAUCUCUUGGCCCUAAUCGGUUGUGAAGGCAAUUGUUAGAAAUGGUACUGGCGGACCCCAAAAGCUAAAGGCUUACUAAGAGUCUGGGCUCUGCACAGGUGUUGCUUUUUCGACCCAUGUCUUUUGGGGAGCAGGGCUCACACUAACAUUUACUUCACUGGGCGCAUGUCUACAGUAUGGUGAGUAGACUUGAAUAUCUCCCUUGCGAACACGACACUCUGUGCAUGUUUGUCCGUUUACGCCACUGGCCACUGCACGUGUCCUUGUGCCCGGGGGAGGAGGAGUACUCUGAUCGGCGGUUACUGAAUAGCUCAUCUCGGGCAGAGGAAGGGGGGAAGUCAGGGAUUUUAAUUUUGGGUUUUAAUUCCAUUAUCAUGCCAGCUGACAUUAUGACUAUAAAAUGUACUUAAGAGAGGAUUUUUACCUUGCUUUUAGUGAAGCUUAGGCCUGCUAACUGUAAAUCAUUCUGAUUUGGCAGGCUUAUUUUUGACAUUGGAAGGGGCAGAAAAAAAUUUGCCCCAAGAGUAUAAUAGGAGUCAGAGCCCAGAGGCUGAAAUCCAGAAGCUAUAAAAAGGAAUUCAGUGAAGGGGGUGGGGGGGGCUUCAGAAUCUCCAUUAUUUUGAGUUGUUAUUUUCAGGAUUACCAAAAAGCCAAUUACUUGUAAUUUUACAUGUUAAACAUGUUGAAACAUAGCCUGUGUUUUAAACGUGUGGCAGGCUUUCCUUUAAGAAGCUGUCCGGCCUGCCAUGAAGUGAGAACGACGAAAAGUCUAGCAGGUGUUCAGUUUAACUCUGUGUAGAACAUAGUAGCGUUUAAGGUGUUUUUCGGAUUUGAAUAUGGACCGUGUGUUGUUUGCUUAUUGACACUGCCUGUUGUCCUGUCAUUAUUAAAUUAAUGAGUCUCUAACUAUAAAGUUUUUCUUCCCAGAGGCCAUAGGGCAGUAGGUGACUUUACUAAAAUUGCAAGAUCAAUUCUAGUCUUCGCUGUUUCUGCACAUGCGCCCCCUCCCCAUAUGGUGUGCUGCUUUAGUCCUGUGCGUGAGCUUGCUUUGGAACAGACCCAUCUUGGACAUUCUCUGUGCUUUCACCGAGGAAGCAAAAUUUUACUAGCCAUGAAUCAAAAGGGUAUAGUAGAUGUUUGCUCUGAUCAGCUAGCUGAAAAUGUUAUAACAUGAUGGAUUUCACCCACUGCUAUGUUUUAUCUGAUUGAGUUUGACCAGCACUUGGUGCAUAAUUAUUACAGCAAGAGCAAAAAAUGAAACUGUAGCAAUUAUGUAAAUGAAUGUGUUGGCCUCCUAACACCUGUUACUAGUGGACUUCCUAUGAGGAAGUUAGUUUUGGGUUUUUUAUUUUGUUUUGUUUUGUUUUUUAAUGAAAUGCUUUUGUUUUUUAAAUCUUAAUUCUCCCGUAUCCUCCCCAAGUGUGCUUAUUACUUCAUUUGUUUAAUUUAAAUGAACCUUUCUUCUCCUUGUAUGUAUGAGGUGAUCUGGUGGGGUGGGGUGGGUGGGUUUUUUUUGUGUUUUUUCUUUAUUUAGGGCAUCCAUAGGCCUCAAAGGACCUUUCCUUUUAGGUCAUAUUCCUCAGAAAGUCUUCAUUCUUCUUUGUUUUGGUUUUUUUCUUAAAGAAUAUUUUUAAAGCUUAAAUUUGUAUAUUAAUUUAGGACUUUAUUUAGAAGUAUAGGCUGUCAUUGGCGGCAGCAGUAUAUUCUGAAAUGUCUCAUAGAUAUAUAUUUUUGAAUAAAGAUGGUGUUGUUGAAUGACA